UACGUAGGGGGCAAGCGUUGUCCGGAAUUAUUGGGCGUAAAGCGCGCGCAGGCGGUCUUUUAAGUCUGGUGUUUAAGCCCGGGGCUCAACCCCGGUUCGCAUCGGAAACUGGAAGACUUGAGUGCAGGAGAGGAAAGCGGAAUUCCACGUGUAGCGGUGAAAUGCGUAGAGAUGUGGAGGAACACCAGUGGCGAAGGCGGCUUUCUGGACUGUAACUGACGCUGAGGCGCGAAAGCGUGGGGAGCAAACAGG
rnacentral:rRNA from 1 species